UACGUAGGAGGCAAGCGUUAUCCGGAGUUACUGGGCGUAAAGGGCCUGUAGGCGGUUGGUCACGUUCAUACUGACAAUCAUCGGCUUCACUGAUGAGGAUGUGUGAAAACGGGCCGACUUGAGAGCGAGAGAGGGAUAUGGAAUUCCAGGUGGAGCAGUGAAAUGCGUAGAGAUCUGGAAGAACACCGAAGGCGAAGGCAAUAUCCUGGCUCGUGUCUGACGCUGAGGGGCGAAAGCCAGGGGAG
rnacentral:rRNA from 1 species